rnacentral:rRNA from 1 species
GAUGAACGCUGGCGGCGUGCCUAAUACAUGCAAGUCGAGCGAACGGACGAGAAGCUUGCUUCUCUGAUGUUAGCGGCGGACGGGUGAGUAACACGUGGAUAACCUACCUAUAAGACUGGGAUAACUUCGGGAAACCGUAGCUAAUACCGGAUAAUAUUUUGAACCGCAUGGUUCAAAAGUGAAAGACGGUCUUGCUGUCACUUAUAGAUGGAUCCGCGCUGCAUUAGCUAGUUGGUAAGGUAACGGCUUACCAAGGCAACGAUGCAUAGCCGACCUGAGAGGGUGAUCGGCCACACUGGAGCUGAGACACGGUCCAGACUCCUACGGGAGGCAGCAGUAGGGAAUCUGCCGCAAUGGGCGAAAGCCUGACGGAGCAACGCCGCGUGAGUGAUGAAGGUCUUCGGAUCGUAAAACUCUGUUAUUAGGGAAGAACAUAUGUGUAAGUAACUGUGCACAUCUUGACGGUACCUAAUCAGAAAGCCACGGCUAACUACGUG